AGGGUUUGAUCAUGGCUCAGGACGAACGCUGGCGGCGUGCCUAACACAUGCAAGUCGAACGAAGAGAAUUGAGAGCUUGCUCUUGAAGAUCUUAGUGGCGAACGGGUGAGUAACGCGUAAACAACCUGCCUUCGGGAUGGGGACAACAGACGGAAACGACUGCUAAUACCCAAUGAACUAACCGAGCGAGUGCGAGGAAGAGGAAAGGUGGCCUCUCGAAGAAGCUACCGCCGGAAGAGGGGUUUGCGUCUGAUUAGUUAGUUGGUGGGGUAACGGCCUACCAAGACGAUGAUCAGUAGCCGGUCUGAGAGGAUGAACGGCCACACUGGAACUGAGACACGGUCCAGACUCCUACGGGAGGCAGCAGUGGGGAAUCUUCCGCAAUGGACGAAAGUCUGACGGAGCAACGCCGCGUGAGUGAAGACGGCCUUCGGGUUGUAAAGCUCUGUUAUUCGGGAAGAAAGAGCCGCUUGUAAAUAAUGAGCGGAAGUGACGGUACCGAAAGAGAAAGCCACGGCUAACUACGUGCCAGCCGCCGCGGUAAUAC
rnacentral:rRNA from 1 species